rnacentral:rRNA from 1 species
AUUUUAGUCUUGUAAUUGGAAUGAGUACAAUUUACAUCUCUUCACGAGGAUCAAUUGGAGGGCAAGUCUGGUGCCAGCAGCCGCGGUAAUUCCAGCUCCAAUAGCGUAUAUUAAAGUUGUUGCAGUUAAAACGCUCGUAGUCGGAUUUCGGGGCNAGNCCGCCGGUCUGCCGAUGGGUAUGCACUGGNNGGRUCGUCCUUCCUUCCGGAGACCGGCCCUACUCUUAACUGAGCGGGGUYGGGAGWCGGAUCGUUUACUUUGAAAAAAUCAGAGUGUUUCAAGCAGGCAGCUCGCUUUUGCAUGGAUUAGCAUGGGAURAUGAAAUAGGACUUUGGUGCUAUUUU